rnacentral:rRNA from 1 species
GGGGAAUAUUGGACAAUGGACGAAAGUCUGAUCCAGCGACGCCGCGUGGAGGAAGAAGUCCUUCGGGAUGUAAACUCAUGAAGCUAACGAAUAAGACGGAAGGGGAACCUUCCGGGAGAAGGUAAUUAGUGAAAAGCCCCGGCUAACUACGUGCCAGCAGCCGCGGUAAUACGUAGGUGGCAAGCGUUGUCCGGAAUUAUUGGGCGUAAAGCGCGCGCAGGUGGUUUCUUAAGUCUGAUGUGAAAGCCCACGGCUUAACCGUGGAGGGUCAUUGGAAACUGGGAGACUUGAGUGCAGAAGAGGAAAGUGGAAUUCCAAGUGUAGCGGUGAAAUGCGUAGAGAUUUGGAGGAACACCAGUGGCGAAGGCGACUUUCUGGUCUGCAACUGACGCUGAGGCGCGAAAGCAUGGGGAGCAAACA